AGAGUUUGAUCCUGGCUCAGAACGAACGCUGGCGGCGUGCCUCAUACAUGCAAGUCGAACGAGAAAGCCCGGCUUCGGUUGGGUUAGUAAAGUGGCGCACGGGUGCGUAACACGUGAGGAACAUGCCCCUAUGUUGGGGAUAAGCCUGCGAAAGCGGGUCUAAUACCGGAUGUUGUCAUUGGAUCGCAUGGUUCGAUGAUUAAAGGCGGUUGAGUCUAUGCCGCCGCAUAGGGAUUGUCUCGCGGCCCAUUAGCUAGUUGGUGAGGUAACGGCCCACCAAGGCAACGAUCAGUAGCCGGCCUGAGAGGGUGAUCGGCCACACUGGAACUGAGACACGGUCCAGACUCCUACGGGAGGCAGCAGUGGGGAAUUUUGCGCAAUGGGCGAAAGCCUGACGCAGCAACGCCGCGUGGGUGAUGAAGGUCUUCGGAUCGUAAAACCCUGUCGUCAGGGACGAAGGUUUGGGGGUUAAUAACCCUUAAGCUUGACGGUACCUGGAGAGGAAGCCCCGGCUAACUCUGUGCCAGCAGCCGCGGUAAUACAGAGGGGGCAAGCGUUAUUCGGAAUUAUUGGGCGUAAAGGGCGCGUAGGCGGUUUUUUAAGUCAGAUGUGUAAUCCCCGAGCUCAACUUGGGAACUGCAUCUGAGACUGGAAGGCUAGAGUACUGGAGAGGGUGGUAGAAUUCCACGUGUAGCGGUGAAAUGCGUAGAGAUGUGGAGGAAUACCAGUGGCGAAGGCGGCCACCUGGACAGUAACUGACGCUGAGGCGCGAAAGUGUGGGUAGCAAACAGGAUUAGAUACCCUGGUAGUCC
rnacentral:rRNA from 1 species